CCUACGGGUGGCAGCAGUGAGGAAUAUUGGUCAAUGGGCUUACGCCUGAUCCAGCCAAGUCGCGUGAGGGAAGACUGCCCUAUGGGUUGUAAACCUCUUUUGUCAGGGAGCAACGCCGGCUACGUGUAGCCGGACUGAGAGUACCUGAAGAAAAAGCAUCGGCUAACUCGGUGCCAGCAGCCGCGGUAAUACGGAGGAUGCGAGCGUGAUCGGGAUUUAUUGGGUUAAAGGGUUGCGUAGGCGGAAUGCCAAGUCAGCGGUAAACUCGCGGGGCCAAACCUCGCUUCGCCGUUGAAACUGGCGGUCUUGAGUGGGCUAGAAGUAUGCGGAAUGCGUGGUGUAGCGGUGAAAUGCAUAGAUAUCACGCAGAACUCCGAUUGCGAAGGCAGCAUACCGGCGCCCAACUGACGCUGAAGCACGAAAGCGUGGGUAUCGAACAGGAUUAGAUACCCCUGUAGUC
rnacentral:rRNA from 1 species